rnacentral:rRNA from 1 species
AUUGAACGCUGGCGGCAUGCCUUACACAUGCAAGUCGAACGGCAGCACGGGAGCAAUCCUGGUGGCGAGUGGCGAACGGGUGAGUAAUAUAUCGGAACGUGCCCGGUCGUGGGGAUAACGUAGCGAAAGCUACGCUAAUACCGCAUACGAUCUACGGAUGAAAGCGGGGGAUCGCAAGACCUCGCGCGAUUGGAGCGGCCGAUAUCAGAUUAGGUAGUUGGUGAGGUAAAGGGCUCACCAAGCCGACGAUCUGUAGCUGGUCUGAGAGGACGACCAGCCACACUGGGACUGAGACACGGCCCAGACUCCUACGGGAGGCAGCAGUGGGGAAUUUUGGGACAAUGGGCGCAAGCCUGAUCCAGCAAUGCCGCGUGCAGGAUGAAGGCCUCGGUUGUAAG